rnacentral:lncRNA from 1 species
AUCUCAAGGGCUUCUGGUAUGACGUAUUUGUGACCAAGAGGACCAGCUGCUCCAUCCCACUUAGGAGUCUGAACAAGAGUCUGGCACAACUCCAAGGCAAGACCUGAGAUGAGGAUGCUGGGAACCUUCUCAAAGGGACAAAGCACCAAGGCUAAAGCCUCCUAUAGGCUCCAGGUGGCUCACAGACAGCUGGCUGAAAUAGAUGAGCAUUUUGGCUGCAGUGCAGAAAUCCAGAGCUGCUGGAUGCUCUCCAUUUUUCAAAUAGGGAUUUGUAUCACUUUCAAUACAUUAAUGCUCAAGAUGGGGCUUCAGAGCAAGUAUACUUCUUCUCACUUGAUUUCUCACAACAAUCUUAUGAGAAACCAAUGGCAGUCUUUCCAUUUGUUUAGCACUGCCCAAGGCUGGGGAGCAGUGACCUUUGGAAGUGUGAGCUUACUCUAGUAAGUGACUCAGGAACUCUCUUACUUAGUGGUAUGUAGGGGUACUUUAAGUUCUUGAUUUGAUUAGCUAAAAGUAGACAAGGGGAGAAUUAAUCUUAUCUUCACAGUGCAACAAGCUGGUGAGUCAGUCCCCUGGGAGGUUAUGGUUAAAUUGUGAGCAUUAAGAAAAUGGAACUCUGAGGCUCUGAAGUAUGAGGAGAUUAAAAAUUAGGAGGGGUUAUGGAAAACAGAGGAAAAGAGUGUUCAUUGUAGGUCUGCAGAGUAGGUGAGAGGGUGUGGAUAGGAAAAGAUUCCCAGGGUACGGAACCUCAGAAUUGCUUCCAUGUCUGGGUUUAGCCAGGCUAGCUCUGAAUAAGUGCAGAUGUAUGAGGACUAUUCACUGGGUGUGGAAAGUGGGCAGGCGAUCUCGAAUGGGCAGAAGGAGAGCUCUAGGUCCAGAGCUGAUCUGCACAGAAUGAUCUCACUAUGUUUGGGUCCUGUGGUUGCCUUAAAUCCCAGGCAGGUUUGCUAUCCUAGAUGCUGAAUCCUGAGCAUCAUGGUCAUCAUGGUCAGAAAAAAUGGAGAGAACAAAGAGCCAAGUUGCAGGCAUAUGGAAAAACAAAAAGCUUUUGUUUUCUGAUUGUCCGCGCGUUUGGAUCCUGAACAAUGAAGGUAUUCCUAUUUUACAAAUUAAAUCAAUUAGGUCCAGAUAGGGUAACUCCUCCAAUACUAUAUAUAUCAAAUAAGUAGCAGAGAUCUGGAGUCUACUGGAUAUCAUUGCCGUCUAAUAUGGUACUCUUUACAUUCUACCAAUACUUUGCAAGGGAUAGUCAAUCAAUUGACAUUUUCCUGUCCCCAUACACCUUGAUCUCAC